GAUGAACGCUGGCGGCGUGCUUAACACAUGCAAGUCGAACGGAAAGGCUCCUGCUUGCAGGGGUACUCGAGUGGCAAACGGGUGUGUAACACGUGGGUGAUCUGCCCUGCACUUCGGGAUAAGCCUGGGAAACUGGGUCUAAUACCGGAUAGGACCACAUUUUGGAUGGUGUGGUGGAAAGUUUUUCGGUGUGGGAUGAGCUCGCGGCCUAUCAGCUUGUUGGUGGGGUAAUGGCCUACCAAGGCGUCGACGGGUAGCCGGCCUGAGAGGGUGUACGGCCACAUUGGGACUGAGAUACGGCCCAGACUCCUACGGGAGGCAGCAGUGGGGAAUAUUGCACAAUGGGCGCAAGCCUGAUGCAGCGACGCCGCGUGGGGGAUGACGGCCUUCGGGUUGUAAACUCCUUUCGCUAGGGACGAAGCGCAAGUGACGGUACCUGGAGAAGAAGCACCGGCUAACUACGUG
rnacentral:rRNA from 1 species